CCCCAUUAAGUCUUGCUGCAUUUCAUUUGGGACUUGUCCUUGAGGCCUAUAUAUAGACGAUUUCAGCUCAUUUUGCAAGAGAGAAGCAUAAUUCAAUAGUUUUAGACAGAGGGAGUUCUAGAGAGACUCGGAUUUGAGAGUAAAAACUUUCUAGAUUCCAUAUAAAUCUAGUAUUUGGAAGAUAAAUCUCAUCCAUUUGAGUGUAAUAACAUAGAUCCAAUGCUAGAGAGCUUGUUCCUCCAUCCUCCAAAGUAAAAGAUCCAAUCUUUUUGUAUAUUCAAUAUAGAUCUAUUAGAUCUCUUGUGUUUUAUUUGUUAUUGUGCUUAGAUCUUGUCCAAGUUUCAAUCUUUAUACGUAUAUUCAUUGAUUUUCUAUAGAUGUACUUCGUUUUAUCGGUUAUUGUGCUUAGAAGUUAUUAAAGAUUGAAUCUUUUUACUAGAUUUAUACUAAAUCUAGCGCAUAUCUAUCCCAAACCUAAUUCUAAAGCUCAAAGCUUGCAUUUUUUAUGUUAAAUUGGCUUGUAUCUAGUUUAGAUCUAGUUAUUUUCAAUGUUUUAAGUUAAUUUUAUGCACCCUGUGAAACCCUAGAUCUAUGUCUAGUGAUGAGGGGGUCCCAACUACCCGUCGUCAAGGGAUUCUAAUGAUUGAAUCACCUGAUAACCAGUUUGGGAUAUAUUUUUUCUAUUUUGAAUCCCGAUGGUGUCAUGUUACGGAUCUUAGCCAUCUUAGAUCUGUGGCUUGUGUCCUAAAUUCUAAGUCAUUUCAAUAGAUCUCAUCGAUACACAUAGUCUUUUGCGAUGUCGGUUUCUCGAUUUUGCAAUCUAAAAGAUAUGGUUUCGGGAGCCCGUUGUUUAGAUCUUUUCUGUUGUUUCUGUUUCAAACAUGAUGUGAGCCUAGGAAUAUUGGAGUCAAGAUCCACGAAUCGGAUCUUGACUAAAUUCCCAUAAUGGACAUGACUUCGAUUGUAAUAGUUAAUAUCCAAACCAUUGUAUAUGUAAUUCGGGCCUUAAAACGACAUCGAGGGUCUCAUCUUGAGAGAUAGGAUUUAAGGC
rnacentral:lncRNA from 1 species